GGCAGUUUAGUUUAAUGGUAAAACACUUGACGUGUAAUCACAGAGAUGUGAGUUCGAGUCCCAUGGCUGGCCA
rnacentral:tRNA from 1 species